rnacentral:rRNA from 1 species
CCCUUAGAUGUUCUGGGCCGCACGCGUGCUACACUGAACGGUUCAAUGGGUGAGGUAGUGCGAAAGCAUGACCCAAUCUCAAAAUCCGUUCGUGCUGGGGAUAGAAGCUUGCAAUUCUCCUUCUUGAACGAGGAAUACCUUGUAAGCGCGAGUCAUCAUCUCGCGCUGAAUACGUCCCUGCCCUUUGUACACACCGCCCGUCGCUCCUACCGAUUGAGUGGUCUGGUGAGGCUUCGGGAGAGCUAAAUGGAUUGUGUUUCACAAACUAUUUGGCUUGAACUUAGUCAAACCUUACUACUUAGAGGAAGGAGAAGUCGUAACA